CAGCAGCCGCGGUAAUACGUAGGGUGCAAGCGUUAAUCGGAAUUACUGGGCGUAAAGCGUGCGCAGGCGGUUUGUUAAGACAGAUGUGAAAUCCCCGGGCUCAACCUGGGAACUGCACUUGUGACUGCACAGCUAGAGUAUGGCAGAGGGGGGUGGAAUUCCACGUGUAGCAGUGAAAUGCGUAGAGAUGUGGAGGAACACCGAUGGCGAAGGCAGCCCCCUGGGCCAAUACUGACGCUCAUGCACGAAAGCGUGGGGAGCAAACAGGAUUAGAUACCCGGGUAGUCCCUGUCUCUUAUAC
rnacentral:rRNA from 1 species